UACGAAGGGGGCUAGCGUUGCUCGGAAUCACUGGGCGUAAAGCGUGCGCAGGCGGCUAUGCAAGACAGAUGUGAAAUCCCCGGGCUCAACCUGGGAACUGCAUUUGUGACUGCAUGGCUAGAGUACGGUAGAGGGGGAUGGAAUUCCGCGUGUAGCAGUGAAAUGCGUAGAUAUGCGGAGGAACACCGAUGGCGAAGGCAAUCCCCUGGACCUGUACUGACGCUCAUGCACGAAAGCGUGGGGAGCAAACAGG
rnacentral:rRNA from 1 species